rnacentral:rRNA from 1 species
UUCCGGUUGAUCCUGCCGGAGGUUACUGCUUUUGGUGUUCGACUAAGCCAUGCAAGUCAUAUGUUCCUCGUGAACAUGGCAUACUGCUCAGUAACACGUGGAUAACCUGCCCUUGGGUCUGGGAUAACCCCGGGAAACUGGGGAUAAUACCGGAUAACGCAUAUGUGCUGGAAUGCUUUAUGCGUAAAACGGAUUCGUCCGCCCAAGGAUGGGUCUGCGGCCUAUCAGGUAGUAGUGGGUGUAAUGUACCUACUAGCCAACAACGGGUACGGGUUGUGAGAGCAAGAGCCCGGAGAUGGAUUCUGAGACAUGAAUCCAGGCCCUACGGGGCGCAGCAGGCGCGAAAACUUUACAAUGCGGGAAACCGUGAUAAGGGAACACCGAGUGCCAGCAUCAUAUGCUGGCUGUCCAGAUGUGUAAACUACAUCUGUUAGCAAGGGCCGGGCAAGACCGGUGCCAGCCGCCGCGGUAACACCGGCGGCCCGAGUGGUGACCGUUAUUAUUGGGUCUAAUGGGUCCGUAGCCGGUUUUGGUCAAUCCCUCCGGGAAAUCUGAAAACUUAACUGUU